rnacentral:lncRNA from 1 species
GUUAGCCUUAUUAUCCUAGGAUCACUCCUUAAUAAUUGUUUCUUUUACAAUCAUACCUCUUUUUAUUUCUAUUAAAAGCGAGGUGAAAAGAAAAUAAUAUUUUUUUCAUGAAAAAUACCACUCUACAAAAAAGUCUAAAAAAUAGACUGUUUUGCAAACAAAUAAGUUUUUUACUAAUAACAUUGUUUAUAUACCCUGUUGAUACACCUUGUCUGCCUACUUUUGGAGUUUGUGUGAUUCUCUCAGGUUUUUUGUCACUUAUAUAUAUUUACUUACUUACUGCCCUUGUACGCCAUUGUUUUUUUUGUAUUACCUUGUUAUUAUCUUCAAAAUCCCUUUAUGUUAUUUGAACUUCAGUAAACUACUGUUGCCUAAUUUCAUUUAUAUAAAAUAUUAGAAAAGUCUUAAUAUUUAAAUAUCUACAAAAUAACUAAAUCAAACUGGAUUAAUUGCAAGGGAUUUGAACAACACUCUGGGUACCCCGAAAAAUAGUCUCAAGC